AUUUAAAUAGUUUAAUUUAAGAUUCUAAUUUGUGAUGUUAGAGAUGUUUAGUUGAGUAAACUUUAAGUU
rnacentral:tRNA from 1 species